AGGAUUUGACUGCUGCAGACAUUGUAUCACAACUCUCAGCAAAGAUAAUAAAAACAUCUUGCAGCAGGUUCAAAAUAAAUAGAGAAAAUGUGUGGGAUGGAGCAGUCCGCGGCUUCAAACGUGCUUCAUUUGACCCAUUAAUGAGUUAUUAGUCAAAUUUACUGAUGAUGAGGGGCAAACUGAGGAUGCAUUGGACAUUGGUGGUCCCAAGUGAGAGUUCCUGACCCUCCUAAUGAACUGCCUGAGAACUUGAAGAAUCUUUGAUGGCCCAGAGGACAGGAAAUAUCUCAUAUUUGACAGUGCAGCUGCAAGAGAAUAGUACUUUCUUGCUGGGAGGAUGAUAGUUCAUGGUGGUCCAGGUCCUCGCCUCCUGUCUGAGAUUUUCUACCAGCACCUCACAGGAGGAACCAUCUCUGACAUUGAAGCCAAGACUGAAGAUGUUAGGAAUGACACCAUGAGAGCUCCCCUGCUUGAGAUAUCCAACGCAGCUACAUUGGAUGAACUGCAUGCGUCAGUUGAAAGACAUUCCAGCUUGUUGCUUUCAGUACCCUGAUGGUGUGGAUGAGAAAGAUAAGAUCAUAAAGGAUUUCAUGCAGUGGUACAUCAUUUACCGCAACCAUUUCUCGAUACAAAGAUUCAAAGAUGGGCUUUCCGCACUAGAUGUCAAUCAUGCUUUGGAGCAGCAUGGAUCUGUAUUUAGGGUCUUUGUGUGCUCAAGUGUGGAACAGCUGACAUCUACAACAUUGGAGGAACUCUUUGAGGUUCAGCUCAGUGAAAAAGGCAGCACAAGACAACAGGAAGAAACCCGAGUAAUAGGAUUCUGGAGAGACUAACUUCUGGAGACAGAAGAUAAACGAACAGGACUCUUCCUCCAUGAUGUCCUGAUGUUUGCCACAGGAUU